AGUGUCUUCAUUUGAUACCGUAGAUUUCAAGAAUAGAGCUUUUUCUAUUAACUACCAAGAAAAACCAAAAAACAUAAUUCAUAGUGGGGUAAAAAUCUCGUUUACCCACACUUUAUUACACUAUUUUCUUUCGGUGUGCUUUUACUUUGCUUCAUUUCCAAAUAUAUAACAGUCAUAACUUCAAAGAAUAUAUAAUCGAUUAUCU
rnacentral:lncRNA from 1 species